rnacentral:rRNA from 1 species
UACGUAGGGUGCGAGCGUUGUCCGGAAUUAUUGGGCGUAAAGAGCUUGUAGGCGGUUUGUCGCGUCUGCCGUGAAAAUCCGAGGCUCAACCUCGGACUUGCGGUGGGUACGGGCAGACUAGAGUGUGGUAGGGGAGACUGGAAUUCCUGGUGUAGCGGUGAAAUGCGCAGAUAUCAGGAGGAACACCGAUGGCGAAGGCAGAUCUCUGGGCCGUAACUGACGCUGAGGAGCGAAAGCAUGGGGAGCGAACAGG